AGGAUCAUUAUUGAUUGCGAAUUGUUGUCUUCAGAUGCUGGCCAGCUCUGGCAAGUGCACGUUGGCAGCUUUUCAUCCAAUACCCCUGUGCACCUUUGGCCUCUUGCUAGCCUUGGCCGGCAGAGGAUUUUUACACCAACUCGAAUGUAAUGAAAUUAUUGUUGUGCGUAAGCACUAAUGUACAACUUUCAACAACGGAUCUCUUGGCUCUCGCAUCGAUGAAGAACGCAGCGAAAUGCGAUAAGUAAUGUGAAUUGCAGAAUUCAGUGAAUCAUCGAAUCUUUGAACGCACCUUGCACCCUUUGGUAUUCCGAAGGGUAUGCUCGUUUGAGUGUCAUUGUACUCUCACACUUCUGAUCUUUGGAUUGGGAGCGGUGGACUUGGGUGUUGCUGCUUUACUGUGGCUCACCUCAAAUGCAGCUAGUGCAACUCUUGGUUGGACAUAUCUACGGCGUGAUAAGUGUCUUCGCCGGCACCUCGAAAGAGGGUGGCUGAUCAGGAGCUCUGUGCUUCCAACUGUCUWCGAACAACUACUGACAACUUGACCUCAAAUCGAGUAGGACCACCCGCUGAACUUAAGCAUAUCAAUAAGCGGAGGA
rnacentral:rRNA from 1 species